UACGAAGGGGGCUAGCGUUGUUCGGAAUUACUGGGCGUAAAGCGCGCGCAGGCGGUCUUUCAAGUCAGUGGUGAAAGCCCGGAGCUCAACUCCGGAAAUGCCAUUGAAACUGUGAGACUUGAGGAUGAGAGAGGUGAGUGGAAUUCCCAGUGUAGAGGUGAAAUUCGUAGAUAUUGGGAAGAACACCGGUGGCGAAGGCGGCUCACUGGCUCAUUUCUGACGCUCAGGCGCGACAGCGUGGGGAGCAAACAGG
rnacentral:rRNA from 1 species